GUUUAUGAGAAACAGUGUAUUUCAGAGAGGUUGUACCAGAAUUAACUCUGCUCAGAGUUAGAUUUGCUGGUCUUAAAGUACUUUUCCUCUUUAAGAUAAAACUGGACCCUUGGUGCUACCUGGAGAUCCCUCUACUUGUUGAUGGGCAGCUUCCCGGGCCACUCCUCUCAGGUACUCUACUGAAGGUUUUUCAUUCUCCUCAAGCUCCAGUUCUGCCACCUCACUUCUUACUCUCAGCCCAAAAGCAAGAAGUUCUUCUAAAUCAGGAAUGGAUUGAAAUCUAAUGAACUGAAACUUUGGCUCCCCAGUCCUGGUCUCCUGCCCUACACAGUCCAAGCAAGUGGGCCAAGAGAUUGCAGCAAAGGAGAGGGGCCAGAGAGGAAUCUUAUCUUCUGUCCUGGCUUCUCUGGUUUUCCUCCUGCCUGCACAUUAAGCACACGGGGACUGACGUGCUGAGACCUGGUAAAUUCAGACAGUGGGGUUCACGGUUCAUCGUAUCCUUUGAAGGACUCCUCCACCACUUCAUUCAAGAUAUCUGAUGUCAUUUCUCUUGACUUUGUUUUAA
rnacentral:sRNA from 1 species